rnacentral:rRNA from 1 species
GCAUGUAUGGUUAGUGGCAGACGGGUGAGUAAUGCAUAGGAAUCUGCCUAGUAGUAUAGGAUAGCCACUAGAAAUGGUGGGUAAUACUGUAUAAUCCCUGCGGGGGAAAGAUUUAUCGCUACUAGAUGAGCCUAUGUCAGAUUAGCUAGUUGGUGGGGUAAUGGCCUACCAAGGCAGUGAUCUGUAGCUGGUCUGAGAGGAUGAUCAGCCACACUGGAACUGAGACACGGUCCAGACUCCUACGGGAGGCAGCAGUGGGGAAUAUUGGACAAUGGGCGCAAGCCUGAUCCAGCUAUGCCGCGUGAGUGAGGAAGGCCUUAGGGUUGUAAAACUCUUUCAGUAGGGAAGAUAAUGACGGUACCUACAGAAGAAGUCCCGGCAAACUCCGUGCCAGCAGCCGCGGUAAUACGGAGGGGGCAAGCGUUGUUCGGAAUUAUUGGGCGUAAAGGGCAUGUAGGCGGUUUGGUAAGUUAAAGGUGAAAUACCAGGGCUUAAC